ACUUACAGAGUCAUAAAAGCCCCUUGGGAAAGCUGGCCUCAUGCCUUUUCACACAGUUCCUGUACAGUUUCCUGACGUGUGCUACACAACUUAAACUUCAGAAGAAAAUAACAGCAACCUAUAUGCCAGCCUACUGAUGUAUGAACUUCAGAGAAAAAUGGCUCUAUCUUUUCA